rnacentral:lncRNA from 12 species
AUGACAAUAGUGCUUUUUAUAAAAAUCACAUUUUUGAUCACUAUGUUCGCUGCCUCCAAUUUGUGGUUUACAUUUCCCAUUAAGAAAAGCCAGCUGGUGUCAAAUCACCCAGCAGGCAGCCCAGACUCAGCUCCCCGUCCUCCCAUUUUCCAGGAGCCGGGGCCCCAUGCACACCGCUGUCAAGCCGCUGUGCUGCUGGUCAGCCGCAGGCCACAGGACACCGAGGCCGGCCGUGGCUAUGUGGGGGCACGCAUGGGGCAGAGCCACUGCCCGUACGCAGCUGCCAACCAACCGCAUGGAAGUGAAGAUGGAUUUGAAGCGUAUACGAAUGACUAAAGAACCCAGGUCGGAGUGGCCCCCUUCCAACUGAAAAAGCGUAGGAGGAAAUUUUAAACUAAUAUAAGCAAAAGCAAGAACCGGUAAGAACACCUACGUUGGCUAGAGCAGCCUGAGGCUGGUUGGGGAGGCUCAGCAGCUCUGUCUCCUUCUACUGCUGGGCUCUGUGCGCACUGGUCUCCUUCAACACCUUGGAGUCAGGAAGCCUCCGCGAUGGCCAUGGAGGUGAUGAGCCUCACAUCCUCCCAGGCAAGCAAGCAACCCCAGAGAGAGAAGGCCUGUCCACCCACAGCUUCCAUGUAACAGGGAAGGUCCCUACAGUUCUUGCUUAAAUUCCACCUGUCACUGUGUCCAGCCGACGGGACUAAUGAUGGGUUGGUCCUGGGGAUGUGCUCUGACCCUGUGUGUGUGUGUGUGGAACAUGUUUCUGAAGAAUUAGAAUGAACACAAAAUAAGAGUUUGGGAAGAUAAAAAGGACUCCAGAGUAGGUGGUUUCCAAUUACUUAUUUGUAUUUACUUACUCUUUUAAUUCUGGCUUAAAUUUUAAAAUGUUUAGAUUUUAGACUUUUAGAAAAAGAGCUAGGCUUUGGAUUUAUUCUUUUAGUUUACUCUUUCCACUUUCUGUGUUGAAGAACCGUGAAUAUUAGAGAACUAUUUUUCUCUCAUUUGGAAGCUUGGGAUCAAUUGCUAAUAAAACUACCUGAGAUCAAGAGAUAUUUAGUAGA